rnacentral:lncRNA from 1 species
CAUUUCAGAAUGUGAUAUUGGUUGAAUCAACAGGUAUUCUAAAAAGGUGCUAACUCUUGUGGAAUGAACAAUCACACAUUUCUGUGAACGCUACUAUUUUUCUUACAAGAUCUGAACCAUACUGGUGCCUAACCUUUCAUAUCUCGAUGUAUAUUUGAACUGUAGAGAAUUACAGGGGUACGUGUUUGUAGGGAUCAGCUGAGUCCGACGAAUUUUGGUAGAUUCAAACCUAAAUUAGUGUUUUAGCUGCGUAUGGCCCGUCUUGCAAAGGAGAAGACCGGGUCAUCUGCUCUGCCGCUUUCGCCCCUGCCGUGCAGCAAGAGAUGAAAAUUUUGAUACAUACAGCAAUAAUGGAGCUAUUGUCAUUAUUGUCACUAACCAGUGACCAAGACCGUGCUCCACAAUUCGCUGUUGUCCCUUGCCAAGUCUUCGCACUUUGAUAGAGUCUAAGUAUGGUCUUUGGCAUGU